UGCCACUCUGAAAUACAAUGUUGCUGUAAAAUGUGCUACCAUAACUCCUGAUGAGACCAGAGUUAAAGAAUUUAGCCUGAAGUCUAUGUGGAGGAGUCCAAAUGGCACAAUUAGAAACAUCUUAAAUGGCACUGUUUUUCGUGAACCUAUUCUCUGCCAGAACAUUCCAAGAAUUGUUCCUGGUUGGAAGAAACCCAUAUGCAUUGGUAGACAUGCCUUUGGUGAUCAAUAUCGUGCCACAGAUACAAUCAUUAGAGGACCAGGAAAGCUUAAAAUGGUUUUUGUCCCAGAGGGUGGUGACACCCCCAUGGAGCUUGAUGUUUAUGAUUUUAAGGGCCCGGGUGUAGCACUUGCUAUGUAUAAUGUUGAUCAGUCCAUUCAAGCUUUUGCCGAGUCAUCAAUGUCAUUGGCAUUUGCAAAAAAGUGGCCUCUUUACUUGAGCACCAAAAACACAAUUCUGAAGAAAUAUGAUGGCAGGUUUAAGGACAUAUUCCAGGAGGUAUAUGAAGAGAAGUGGAAGCAGAAGUUUGAAGAACAUUCGAUAUGGUAUGAGCAUCGGCUAAUUGACGAUAUGGUUGCUUAUGUGGUAAAAAGUGAAGGUGGUUAUGUGUGGGCUUGCAAAAAUUAUGAUGGAGAUGUCCAAAGUGAUUUACUUGCUCAAGGAUUUGGUUCGUUGGGCCUCAUGACCUCUGUGUUGUUAUCAUCUGAUGGAAAGACACUUGAGGCUGAGGCUGCUCAUGGGACUGUUACUCGGCAUUUCCGGUUAUAUCAGAAAGGACAAGAAACCAGCACAAAUAGUAUUGCUUCAAUAUUUGCAUGGACACGAGGGCUAGAACAUAGGGCCAAACUGGAUAAGAAUGAAAGGUUGCUUGAUUUUGUGCGCAAGUUGGAGGCUUCAUGCAUUGAGACUGUAGAAGCAGGAAAAAUGACGAAGGAUCUAGCUAUUUUGAUUCAUGGCCCUAAGGUGUCGAGGGAGUUUUAUUUGAACACGGAAGAAUUUAUUGUUGCUGUUGCACAGAAUCUCGAGGCAAAGCUUCGGGAACCUGCAGUUGUUUAACCACACAUUUAGGGCUUGGGGAGGGGAUUAAAACCAAUUCUCUUAUAGCUGGUCCGGUACUGACUCAGGCGGGUUUCAGUCCAUUCAGGGCCUUAACUGCUGACCCCUGGUUGGGUCUUUCUUGGUAAUGGAG
rnacentral:misc_RNA from 1 species